CCUUAGGGAAGUUCCCACUGUGGCACAGUGGAAACGAAUCCAACUAAUAUCCAUAAGGAUGCGGGGUCAAUCCCUGGCCUCACUCAGUGGGUCAGGGAUCUGGUGUUUCUGUAGCUGUGGUGUAGGCCAGCAGCUGUAGCUCCAAUUCAACCCCUAGCCUGGGAACUUCCACAUGCCCUAAAAAGCCAAAAAACAAACACGAAAACCCACAAAUAGCUGCACCUUCGGCACAUGGACGUUCCCAGGCCAGGGAUUGAAUUUGAGACACAGCCACAACCUACACUGAAGCCGCAGCUGUGGCAACACGGGAUCCUCCUGCGCCUGGCCAGGAAUUAAACCCGCAUCUCUGUCACAGCCCAAGCUGUUACAAGUAAGGUUCUUAACACACUGAACCACAGUUGGAACUCCAAUAGGCAGGAUUUGAGCUACUGCAAACUCUGCCUUGCCCUCUUGGUCUCCACUGGACAAAGCUGGUGUUCUCAGCCACCAUCAAGAUCCUUUUGGCCAGCCAACCUUUCCCUAGGGGUAAGGGUGGGCCUUGGCCUGCUGAGAGCCAGAGAGGGUGUGGGCAGGGUACCAAUGUGCUUUGGUAUGGGGUGGGGGGGCAGAUGAGCUCAGCCAGGAAUUUCAGAAGAGGGGUAAGAUCUCAGGCAAGAACACCCCUUUUCCCUCAUCACCAAACACCCCUGCUAAGACUUCACAAUUUCAGUCAAGCGCCCCCGCCCCCGCCCCGCUCUGGUACUCCUUAAGGCUUCUUCAGAGGGUUUCAGGUGGCUCCUGGUGCUGCCUGGACUCUGGCAACAAGUCCCUUUCUGACAAGUCACAUGGUGUCUGGGCUGGGAAAGGGAGGAAGACUGUGCAACACAGAAAUCCAUCUCAAACCAGACAGACAUCUCAAAUCUAAGCAGAUGAGAAAAGCAAAGGAAAAGAGGAAGCAGGGGCCAAAUUCCAAAGCCACUAGCACAUGUGUCUGGAAGCCUAAUCAGGAUGUAUGUGGCCCAGGGAGCAGGUGUGGUUGGGGGCUCCGCAAGGAGGGAAUGGAACCUGGGAUUCCGGGCAGGUAGCCCAAAGGAAUGUGAUGGAAAAAUAAAAGAACUCUGGGGCCAGAAUCUUUUUCUUGGUGAAAACUAAGACCUUCAGGAGGCUGUGAGGUGAAAACUGAUUCCCAAGUUCCUGGGGCUAAAGGGUCUGGAAGGGAUUCUGCCAAGUAUUGUCAAUUUCUCUGAGAAAGCAUCCCCCCCUCCCCAACCUGCCCCUGCAACUGCUAAACAAUCAGAACUGCCCACAAACCAUGCUAUUAGAAGUCAGAGCAUCAUUAAAAAUGAAUGAGGUAGCUCUGUGCAUACAGACAGACACUUAGGAUGGUCCAAAAUGAACCAGAAGAAGAUAUGGUCAAAGUUAGGGGCACUUGGCCCGAGCCCCAUUUUGCUAAGAAUAACAGUGUCUGCGUGUUAACUGGAGCAUAGAAGCCAGCCCAAAGAAAACAUGCCUCAAACUGCUGUCAGCAGCAGCCAGUGGCUCUCUCUGGAGGCGUGUGAUGGGGAACUUACACUUUCUACAUCACAGAUUUCUGGGGCUUUUUCUUUUGUGUUCGUUUUAAUCACCUAUUACUUCUGUAAACAGAUUUUUUUAAAAAAAAUGCUUUUUAAGGAAAAAACAAGAAACCUAGGUAAGAAAAAAUAUCUGGGAAAGAAACACCCAGAAAAGAUGCCCAGGAAGUGCCUCUGUGGGAAAUAAAUGAGGACGAUGAAAGGAUUUGGGGACUGUGUUACUUUCUGCUUUGCCAAAAUCACUGUCAAUGUUCAACAUGUGGAACCAGACUGCCUGAGGAUCAGAGGUCUGUUUCUUCUUUCAUAACACCCUUAGCGUUUCUCUUAUAAAUAAAAAAGGACCAUGGUGACCGGCCACUGUGGCAGGAAGGGCUGAUAAUAGGCAAUCAGGACCCUCUGAAAUCUAUGUGCUGAGAUUAUGGGUUGACUUUUUAAUUUUUUUCCCCCAUCUUGCCUAAAAACCAGCAUUAUACUUAAGUUUGGCCCCAGGAUAGCGGCUACUUUGUUUUUAGGGCGUGAAGAAAUUUGUUCCAAGACACAUUUCAGCAGCAGCUACAUAGUAGUCAAGUCAUGACCCUGCACUCAGAUGGUUCAGGACAGGAUAGCUUCAGCAAAGCCAGCCCCAUUUGUUACAUUCAAACUACAAAAUGAGACUCUCCCCCCCUACACACACACACACACACACACACACACACACACACACACUCAUGCACACUCUCUCUCUCUCCCUCUCUCCACAACUAAGAAACCCCCCCUACACACACACACACACACACACUCAUGCACACACUCAUGCACUCUCUCCCUCUCUCCACAACUAAGAAAACCCUCCCAAAGCUGGCUGUUCUGUGGAAUUUUCCUUGCAAUAUAAUUAAGUAGCAAAACCUUGCCCUACAUUUAACAGGGAAUACAUUUCAGAAACUAAAAAAACAUGUCAGGAUGAUAAAUUACAAUGUUUUCUCAGUUCUACCUAAAAGGUAGAUAUGCCAAAUUAUUCCCAAGUAUUAUUUUUAGCACUCAGAAUUAUACAUCAUUUUAUUCAUUGGAAUCCUCUCCCCCGCCCUUUUUAAAUAUUUCAUUCAUGUGAAAACCACUGAAGAGCACCUUCCCAUCUAUAACAUGGCAGAUGACAACCAGACCAGUCCUCUGCCCUCGGGAGGCCAAGCUCUAAUCCAGCAGGGAGAUAAAGCGUCUACACUUGAGUAUACAAAUACUACCCUACCUACCCAGGUGUUUUUCAAACUCUUAAUCAUGACCCAGAGUCCACUGUGACCUGUUUAAAACACACAUUAGGUCACCAUAACAAGUUUUACAAUUCUGUCCUGACCCUGCUCCCCGUGAAACCCGGGUAGACUCUCUUCCUUUUCUCUGCUAAGGCUGACCAAGCCCCACUGUAUGGAGGUCAGAGCACAACACUGGGACUUUUGUGGUGCCUGAUAUACACUCAACACUGAGCAUGAUGUGUGACUGGUGGAGAGGGCAGGGGAGAAGUCCCCCAAAACAGUGUUGGUCAAAGCACAAGAGCGGCCACGAGGGGGCAAAAGGAGUGGCACCUGUACCUGCCAAGUGUCACUUGAGACAGGCCCUCCAGUCACCACAAAUACUGACCAACAACCAACUCUGUGCUGAAGUGGGUUCCAGGCAUUGGGCAUUCAGCAGAGUCCCUGCCUGGUGGGACUAACAACUGAGUGACAGAAACAACCACACAAAUAAACAUGACACAAUGUCACACACUGGGAAGUGCUAUGAAUAAUUAAGGGUUAACAGUGAAGCUGAAGGGAGGCGCUCUCUCUCAAUCAUAGUGGCGAGGGAUGGUCUCAAUGAUGGGGACACAUCUGAGCAGAGAUCUGAAGUAAAACGGGAGCCAGUGGCACAGACAGGCGGAGGGACCAACACAUGCAAAGGCCGUGGGGUAGGACUCUGACGGGAGAGAGCAGAAGAGAGGGGUAUGGAGGCAGAUGAGGUCAGAGCUGAGUGGAGAGGGCAGAUCACAAGCCUGAGGGCAGUGGUGAGGAAGCAGAAGUCUACUCUAGGUGCAAUGGGAAACCACUGGAAUGUUCUGAGCAAGGCAGUGACACGGUCUGAAGAUGGUUUUAGAAGGUUUCUCUCGACAGGCUGAAGGAAUGGAUGUGAGGGUAAGAGAAUGAAGGGAUAAAGAUGACCAAGGUAACCAGCAGGGCCUCAGCUGACAUACGCCAUUUGAAAUAGAAAAGGUGUCCCUUCCUUGAGGGAGACCAGCCCUGAAACCAGGAUAAGCAAAGCCCGGCCAGGAUGAAUUUCAGCCCCAUCUUGCAUCCCUUCAUUCACUACUGGUGACCAUAGGUGCCAAGUGGAGACUAUGGGAGGGUCAAGGGGUUUUAAAUUCAGAGAGGUUGUUUGCCAAGUCAUGUAGGGAAUAGAGUCCUGCCUACCUCAAGUCUGUCUGACUCCAAUGUCUGAGUAACUGAUUGAGGCAGAGGAUCAGAAGCUUUCAGAGGGGGAGAGCCUGGAAGAGCACCAAGUGCAGUAAAGAGAAGCACUCCAAAGGCAGGAGCCUCCAAGGGGGUGUUCCAAGGAGGCGGUCAGGGGCACUGAGCAAGCGAGCUAUCCAGGUUGUGAUCGGAUGCAGCACUCGGCCGUCACCAGUGCCAGAUGCCGUUCCCAGGGCACUUCCAGGGGCUUCCUGUGCUUCAGCGUCCCCCUUAGGACAAGGAGACAUCCAUCGUGCCACCUGAUGGAGACUUUGGGGGCAAAUCAGGGUGGUACACAUCAAACCCUGCCCCCUCAAGUCUCUCACUGUAACAGGUGAAAGAGCAACUGCCACUUGGCCACCUGCUUCCUGAACCAGCAGGGCGAGACCUACCAGUGAAAGGAGAACUUAAACCACCCCAAGGAGCCAUGUUAAAGCCCAUCCUCCUCAUCACUCUUGUACUACUGGCGAACUUCACACUGAAUGAAACUCAGACUGUUCCCAGUGACAAGUGUUCCAAUGCACAAAUGAAGACAUGGCCCUUUAGCAAAGUAACAACAGUCUCAAAAUGACACUCUGGAAACCAGACUGGGUUUCCAGAAAGGAGUAGGUUUAUGCUGUGCUACUUGUUUUCAAAAGAAAGCUCUUUCUCUGAGGGAACUGGAUACACCAUCUCUUUCCUUUCCUCUGCCGUGUGAAAUCCACUCUCCCAAGAAACCCAGCUACCCCCGGUACUUCCCUUAAGGCCCUUUCAUGUACAGGAAGGUGAGUGGAGUGUGACCUUCUCAGGCAGGUUGACUCCAUGUCCUACAAAAUUUGCAUCAGCAGCGUGUAGCUAACAGAAAACUCUUGAGAUAUCGCUGAUCAUAUCAACGAGCUUAAUACUUCUUAGGGAUGACACCUGUAAGGUCGACAGCCAUGGCAGCUCCACCUGGCCUCAACUCAAUUCUGAUGUAUUCACCCCCAGACAUUUCUCCCCCAAUAUUCCCACAGCUAUUAUUUCCCUUUUACAGUAGGUUUUGCCCAUGCUUUUAAUUUAAAAAAAGAAAAAAAAAAAAAACUUUAAUUCUCCCUUCAGUGUUCCCAUCAGUGUUGCAAGUUAUGAGAUGUGGGAAAUGAAAAAUGAGCAUUUGAUGUUUUUCAAAACCCAUGCCACCACACUUCCCUCUUUCCAAUGCCGUAUGGUGAAAUUGCAGAGCAUACAAUUUUUUUUUUUUUCCUUUUUCACUGCACUCGCAGCACAUGAAGUUCCCAGCCAGGGACUGAGUGCGAGCCAGAGCUGCAACCUACGUACACCACAGCUGCAGCAAUGCCAGAUCCUUAACCCACUGUGCCAUAGCUGGAACUCUGAGCAUACAACUUGUAAACUAGUAAGGAGAAAAUGAAGGACAUAAUUCCUUUGCUACCACUGUGAAAAAAAAAAAUAACUAUUACAAUGGGGCAAAAAUAUAGUCUGUAUUUCGACCCACUAGAAUGUUGUAGGAAUCCUAAUAAAUGACAACUACAAACUGUUCAGCCCUUUGUGCCAGGCACUGCCCUAAGCACAGUAUGUUUGUCGUCUGUCAUUUUGCUGUCAUUUAGUCCUUGCAACAAUCCUACAAGCUGGGUACUAUUACUGCCCCCAAAUGAGGGACAGGGCCCUUGUCUGCCUGUUUCAGGUUGAACCCCCAGCCAUUUCACUACAUGAAUGUGGAAUGCGUGGCUGGGCUACUUCUAGUACAACUCAAGGGAGCACCAUUCAUGUUGUGUUCUAUGGUACAUGUGAGUGCCCUCUGUGCCAUGGCAGCCCUGAUGACUGAGGACUUACAAAGCGCCAGGCACUGUCACCCCUAUUUCCUUGAGGCACCAAGAGGGAAGCAGCAAAGCUAGGCGUCAGACCUGGAUGUUUGACUGGAGAGCUCUGGACCUCAGUUUCUCCACUGGCAAAAUCUUCUCACCAGACAUUCACCCAACACACCCAGUCCCUCCCCGUCUCCCACAUCACAAAGAGCUAGGACAUGGAGCUGGUGUGGGGUUACAACCCAACGUUUGAGGACCCACAAGAGGUAAAAAAGGUAAAUAAAUAAAUAUGUGUUCCUGUUGAAGUGCUUUUCACUGACAACAAAUUUGGAGACCACUGCACUGCCCCCCCGCUAAAGCUCUGGUGAGGUCAGCUCACAACCACCCCUGGGCUCAAAAACCUUCAAGAUCACCAUCUCCUGACGGGUUGGACACAAAAUGAUUUUAAGUGGCAUGUGGAGCAAUGUUUAUUAUUGUCACAAUUAUGUAUGCAUUGAUUUUAAAGAAAAUUAGGAAAAUAUAUAUAACCAGCACAUCAAACCCGGGAUUUCUGGAAUACAGAAUGACUCUAAAUUAUGUUUUCAGUUUUUUUAUACAGCUAAUUUACAUAUAUAUAAAUAAUAUAAACACCAAUAAGUUGAGGGCUCAUUACAUGUCAGGCUCUGCAGAUGGUAAGCCACUUCCCACACUGUCUUUUGAACUCUCACAAUAACUCUCUGAGGUGACACCACUAUCGUACCUGUUUCACAAGAGGGGAGUCUACUGUUAAGUGUCUUGCUUGAGGUCAAACUAGGAUUAAGAGAUGGGUAUAAAUCCAGGAGGUCUGAUUCCAGAACUAGCUCUCCACACCACCACCUCAUAUUAACCACAGCCCUACAUCUUCAUUUUUGGGGGAAUGAGGUUUGGGAAACAAUGGCCUAGAAAGUUAAAACAACAACAAAAACCCUCCAACAACUAACAUUUAUCGCCUACAACCCACUUUCAGUCGUGGGCCAAGCACUUCACACACAGCUUCACUCAAUCCUCCUGAACACCCUCCUCUUCAUCCACAAAUGGCUGCUAAGGGCCUACUACGUGCUUCAGGAGAUCAGGGAGACAGAGCUGUGAGAGCUCUGAUGGCCCUUGGAAAAGAAUAGAUGUGUAAUUACAAACCCAGAUAACUGCUACACAAGAAAGGAUCAAGGUGAUGUGAGAAUAGCAGAGGGGAGCAAUGACUGGUCCCAGAUGGUCAAAUGCAACCUGGACAUCCUCCCUGAUCCUCAGUAAAGGCUCCUCUUCCACGCAACCUCCCUAAUCUCUGACUCCCAUCACUGGGCAUCCAUCCACUGUGUUCCUCUCACAUGACAGGCCAAGGGGAGUAGUCCCCACAUUUACCACCUGUUCCCCUACAAGGCUGGAGAGGCUCCCAAGGCAUCCAACCUCCAAUCAUCUAACACCCAGUAGGGACUCAACAAACUUUUGUUUAACAAUAAAGGAGGAGAUUGGACUGAACAACAAAAUAGUGCUUCCCUCUAACCAGGAACCAUUUUAUUGGCUUUCACCAACUCCAUUUGUGGCAUUAUUGCCAUUUCACAAAUGAGGAAACUAAGAGGUUCAGAAAAAUUAAGUUAUUUGCCUAAGGUCACAUAGCUAAGUAACCAGCAACGCCAGAAAUCAAACCCAACUCCAGUCUGUCAAUUGAAAGUGAAAACUUACUUCAAAUUCCUAGGAAGUGGUUCUAACAUUAUUCCCUACUUUACCUAAGGAUUCACUGGGGGUGGGGGCGUGGGGUGGCUACCUAGGCUAGUCUUCAAGAUCGGCACAAAACACCUUCUCCUUAAAGAUCCACAUCUUAAAUAAAAGCGUUAAUCUGGAAAAUCAAUUGCGAGGAAGGGAAAAGGAUGGAAAACUAAAACAAAGCUUUCAACAGCAGUUCUCCCGGUCCUUCCCGACUAGCUGCGGAUCCUCCGAUUUAAGGCAAACAUUCUGGAGUCACUACUUUACAAGGGGCUGAAAGAGUUAUUUACCUUGCCUUGAAAACCUAAAAUUGACUUUUUAAAAAUGAAAUUUUAGGUCAUCUAAACCAAUUGUGCUGCUAAUGUUCAUGUCCAGGCGACGCUGGACAUAUCUGGGGGUUUUCCUACUGAGCGAUGACCGCAGCCUUGUUAAAAGGCAACAAUCGAGUCGGACCCGUUACAACGUAGCCAGAAUAGCCCGGACGCCUGGCUAUUGUUAUAGCCGCAGCUGAGACCGCGAUGGGGGCCGGGCCCGUGGCCCGCCGACUGGGCGAAGAGCUUUGUCCGGCGACCCCGGCGAGAGCGCGCGCGAGGGGCGCGCGGCCUCCACGCGGCCCGGGCCCCCACCCCACCCGCCGCGGAUACUGUAGCCGCCGCGGCCUCGAUGCACUGUGGCCUUCCCCGCGCGCGCGGUGCAGGCCAGGCGUCUUGACCCUCGGGCGCCGCCGUACCCCGGCCCUGCUCCGGGCGCCGGCGGCCCCCUCCCCCCUCGGAACCCCGGCUCCAUUCAAACCGUCCUCCCAAGCCCCGCGCCGCGCUCCCCCCGCGAUCUGCGUUCCUUACCGGGAGUCGCCGGUGCCGUCGCCUUCCUGGCGCCGCCCCCGCCCCUCCGCGCGAGGCCGGGGGCAGAAUGGGCGUCUCGCCUCUUCUCACGAAACAAAGAAGCCGCCGCUGCCGCCGCCAAGCGAGGCAGUAAAUACUACGGAACCACACCAGGCAAGGUUGGAUCAGUCUGAGGAUCUGGAACCUCGGAUAUCUGGGAGCCGUCAUUUGUGCUAAUGAAUAGCAGUUGGUAUCAGCCACUGGAUUCUGCCCGAGAUGGAGCAAGGGACACAGCACCCUUGUAGCCGCCCUGCUGGAAAUCUCAAAAGGGCAAAUCCAGGACUUCUGCUAUAGCUUGGCAGCGAGUUCUCCAGAAACGCCAACUGGUAGGUUCUAUGAACUCGAGACAGCCUCUGCAGGAUGCCUGUGCCUCCUCAGCUCUGAGUAAGAUUCCAAGACCAAAGUACCACAUCUGUUUUUCAACCCCUGAUGAUGUGAUUGAUUCAGAUCUUGAUGAAAAAUGAUAAAGCCAUCAGCUGGAAGGCUGAUAGGGAACCUCACGGGAGGGACCACUUUGGCAGUGGGACAUGCAGACCUACCAUGCCUCCUUAUGUCUGUGUCGUCAGCCAGAGCACCCCCUGAGCUAGAACUUGCUGGAAGAGUUGAAUGUGAUUCUAAUAAAUCCUCUUGAGUUGUGGUUCUCAGACCUGGCUGAUGAUCAGCAUCACCUGGAGAGACUGAAAACCUGGGGUCACCUGGGACCCAGGCCAGGAUGUUGACUUAACUGGCCUAGAUGGUUCAUGUUUCCCAGGUGGACCCCACGUGGAGGCUAUUCUGAGUUGAGAGCUAAUUUACAGGAACUCCAGGGGGUGGGGGAGAUGAGGGAACACACUGAAUGCCACAACAAACCAGCCCAUCCAGUAGGUGGGCUGCAUCUCAAGGCGCUUGAGCCCAUUUCUGUGUUUCUGCAGCAGGUCAAAGGUAAGUGUGUCUGGUGGGGGGACGGGGCGGACUUCUCUAGAUUAAAAGAGACUUAAAAGACUCAACCACAAAA